UACGGAGGGUGCAAGCGUUAUCCGGAUUCACUGGGUUUAAAGGGUGCGUAGGUGGGCAGGUAAGUCAGUGGUGAAAUCUCCGGGCUUAACCCGGAAACUGCCAUUGAUACUAUCUGUCUUGAAUACCGUGGAGGUGAGCGGAAUAUGUCAUGUAGCGGUGAAAUGCUUAGAUAUGACAUAGAACAUCAAUUGCGAAGGCAGCUGGCUACACAAAUAUUGACACUGAUGCACGAAAGCGUGGGGAUCAAACAGG
rnacentral:rRNA from 1 species